rnacentral:rRNA from 1 species
GGCGUGGGGACAGUGUCUGGUGGGUAGUUUGACUGGGGCGGUCUCCUCCCAAAGUGUAACGGAGGAGCACGAAGGUCAGCUAAUCCUGGUCGGACAUCAGGAGGUUAGUGCAAUGGCAUAAGCUGGCUUGACUGCGAGAGUGACGGCUCGAGCAGGUGCGAAAGCAGGUCAUAGUGAUCCGGUGGUUCUGUAUGGAAGGGCCAUCGCUCAACGGAUAAAAGGUACUCCGGGGAUAACAGGCUGAUACCGCCCAAGAGUUCAUAUCGACGGCGGUGUUUGGCACCUCGAUGUCGGCUCAUCACAUCCUGGGGCUGAAGUAGGUCCCAAGGGUAUGGCUGUUCGCCAUUUAAAGUGGUACGCGAGCUGGGUUUAGAACGUCGUGAGACAGUUCGGUCCCUAUCUGCCGUGGGCGCUGGAGAAUUGAGGGGGGCUGCUCCCAGUACGAGAGGACCGGAGUGGACGCAUCACUGGUGUUCGGGUUGUCAUGCCAAUGGCACUGCCCGGUAGCUAAAUGCGGAAGAGAUAAGUGCUGAAAGCAUCUAAGCACGAAACUUGCCCCGAGAUGAGUUCUCCCUGAGACUGUAAGUCUCCUGAAGGAACGUUGAAGACGACGACGUUGAUAGGCCGGGUGUGUAAGCGCAGCGAUGCGUUGAGCUAACCGGUACUAAUGAACCGUGAGGCUUAACCUUACAACGCCAAAGAAGU